GAUGAACGCUAGCGGCAGGCCUAAUACAUGCAAGUCGAACGGUGUCUUCGGACAUAGUGGCGCACGGGUGCGUAACACGUAUGCAACCUACCUUACAUUGGGGGGAUAACCCGGAGAAAUUCGGACUAAUACCGCAUAAUACUGAUUAUCUGCAUGGAUUGAUCAGUUAAACAUUUAUGGCUUACAGAUGGGCAUGCGUAUGAUUAGAUAGUUGGUAGGGUAACGGCCUACCAAGUCAACGAUCAUUAGGGGUUCUGAGAGGAAGGUCCCCCACACUGGUACUGAGACACGGACCAGACUCCUACGGGAGGCAGCAGUGAGGAAUAUUGGUCAAUGGGCGAGAGCCUGAACCAGCCAAGUCGCGUGAAGGAAGAAGGUUCUAUGGAUUGUAAACUUCUUUUGUAAGGGAAUAAAAAGAGUUACGUGUAACUUAUUGUAUGUACUUUACGAAUAAGGAUCGGCUAACUCCGUG
rnacentral:rRNA from 1 species